rnacentral:rRNA from 1 species
GGGCUGCUCCUAGUACGAGAGGACCGGAGUGGACGCAUCACUGGUGUUCGGGUUGUCAUGCCAAUGGCACUGCCCGGUAGCUAAAUGCGGAAGAGAUAAGUGCUGAAAGCAUCUAAGCACGAAACUUGCCCCGAGAUGAGUUCUCCCUGACUCCUUGAGAGUCCUGAAGGAACGUUGAAGACGACGACGUUGAUAGGCCGGGUGUGUAAGCGCAGCGAUGCGUUGAGCUAACCGGUACUAAUGAACCGUGAGGCUUAACCUUACAACGCCGAAG